rnacentral:rRNA from 1 species
UACGUAGGGUGCGAGCGUUGUCCGGAAUUACUGGGCGUAAAGAGCUCGUAGGUGGUUUGUCGCGUUGUCCGUGAAAACUCACAACUCAAUUGUGGGCGUGCGGGCGAUACGGGCAGACUGGAGUACUGCAGGGGAGACUGGAAUUCCUGGUGUAGCGGUGGAAUGCGCAGAUAUCAGGAAGAACACCCGUGGCGAAGGCGGCUCUCUGGGACGUGACUGACGCUGAGACGCGAAAGCGUGGGGAGCGAACAGG